UACGUAGGGUGCGAGCGUUGUCCGGAAUUACUGGGCGUAAAGAGCUCUUAGGUGGUUUGUCUCGUUGUUCGUGAAAACCUGAGGCUUAACCUUGGGCGUGCGGGCGAUACGGGCAGACUGGAGUACUGCAGGGGAGACUGGAAUUCCUGGUGUAGCGGUGGAAUGCGCAGAUAUCAGGAGGAACACCGGUGGCGAAGGCGGGUCUCUGGGCAGUAACUGACGCUGAGGAGCGAAAGCGUGGGGAGCGAACAGG
rnacentral:rRNA from 1 species